AACAUCGAAACAUUUUGAAAUUUUGUGCUUAAUAAUAUACUAUCAUUUAUAGAACCAUGGCUGAUAAUGCCCACAAGGCAACAACGGAAGAACUUGUCAGACAUCUUGAAGUUCGGAAGAAGCUGGAUGCUCUGAAAUUAGCCAGAGCAGCUCAACGAUCUGACGAAGCAGUAGGAGGGGCGGCUGCUGGAGCUGGUGAUGCUGCCGUUGGUGGAGGAGCGGCGGCUCCUGGAAGAUUGGCUCCGAGAAUUGGAGGAAUGGGAAGAGCUGCUUUCAUAGAAUCCAUCAAGAGGAAUAAUGCUGACCUGGCUGCAAAAGGAGUACACAAUGAAGAGCUUGGGAAGUAUCUCAGUGAUCAAGGCUUACUCCUGAAUUUACAAGAACAUGUGCCAAUUGUUAUUCCUCCUGCUAUCACUGUUCCUUCAGCUAGCACUGCUCCUCCGAGCUCAGCUCCAACUGUUCCUGCUUCUGCCAGAGCCCGUAUUCUGGAGAGGGCUAGGCAGAUGGCUGAAGCGAAAGCCAGAAAUAAACUUCUCGAUCCAUCGUCGACCACUAAACCUGAAAAUAUAUCUCGGAACGAUUCUGGAAACAAUACUCAGAAUCUGUCUGGGAAUACAACCCAGAAUCAAUCUGGGAAUACUGCCCAGAAUCAAGGAAAUACAACUCUGAAUGUAUCUGAGAAUUCUCUGGUAGUCACUGCUUCUACCCACAACUUAUCUGGGUUAUCUGAAAGUAAAACCAAGAAUUUGACAGAUGAAGGUAUUGUAUCCGGGAGCUUUGGAACCUCUACUCAUGCCGGUACAGAUGGUACAGCUGGUACAGCUGGUACUGGCGAGCUAGUGGACAGGGACAAGUUCUCCCUCCUCCCAACCUAUCCUCCAAAGAAGAGAGGAGAAAAGGGAAGGGAGUUCAACGCUUCCGCAAAUAUUGUCAGGUUGACCGUGAAGCAGGAUAUGGGGGUAUAUGAGUAUAGUGUUCAAUUCAAUCCUCCCAUGGAUAAUAUCAGAGAGAAGAAACGUCAUAUCCGGAGGUUUACGGAUACCAUAGGAGCUACAUACAAGUUUGAUGGUGCUACGCUAUGGUUACCGAUUCUCCUACGCAAGCUUCAUAAUGUGUUCAGCAUAACCUCAGAGUCUGGUGAGCCAGUGCUGGUAACUAUCCGUCCAGUUCGUCGAGUUGAGUUAAAAAAUGCUCUGCAUUUUUUCAAUGUUCUCUUCAACAAGAUAAUGGAGAUACUCAAGUUCGUGGAGAUCAAGAGGAAUCACUAUGAUCCUUUAGCUCCAAUGAUGGUUCCGCAGCAUAAGCUUGAGAUCUGGCCUGGAUAUGUAUCAAGAGUUCAUGAAACUGAUGGAGGACUGAUGCUCAUCUGCGAUACUUCAUUUAAAGUUCUCCGGAAUGAAUUUGCUUAUGAUAUCAUCCGUGAGGUGACAAAGAGAGGUGGAGGUAAUCUCAAGAAUACUCUGGAGAAGGUUCUUGUUGGACAGAUUGUAAUGACUGAGUACAACAAGGCACAAACCUACAGAGUAGAUGAGAUAGAUAUGGAAACAACUCCUCAAAGCUCCUUCAUUAAUUAUAGAGGCGAGUCUCAGACCUACAUCAACUACUACAAGAAUAAGUGGAACAUUGAUAUUAAGGACCAUGAGCAGCCCAUGAUUGUAUUCAGGGAGAGGAGGAAAAAACAAGAAGAGUUCAACGAGGAGAGGCUUGUCUACUUGGUUCCAGAACUGUGCAGGAUGACCGGACUCACUGAUGCCAUGCGGGCAAAUUAUGGUGUAAUGAAGGAUGUUGCUCUCUUUACCAAAGUUUCUCCGGAUCAGAGACAGCAGGCUCUGAAGAAAUUUUUGAAGAAGGUGAAUGAUAAUCCUGAAGCCAGUCAGAUUCUUAAUGACUGGGGGCUUGCUCUGGACACUGAACCAAUCAGGAUGAAGGGAAGGAUCCUAGACCCGGAGAAGCUGGUGAUGGGCAAGGGAUCCAAGUUCACUGUCAACUUGAAGGCGGACUGGGGCAGAGAUUCUACUAACAACAGCAGCUUGGUCUCAGUUCCGUUGAAGACCUGGCAUAUCGUGUGCGCUGACCGCAACACAGCAGUUGUUAAAGGGUUUAUAGAGCUUGUGAGAAAGCUAGCUCCCAAGAUGGGAAUGGAUGUCACCCAGCCAACACUCUCCAUCAUUCAGUCUGAUAAAACUGAUCUGUAUCUGAGGGAUUUGAAGGAGAAGAUUAAUGGUAGUACACAGAUAGUCGUCUGUAUAGUUCCCCUCCAGAGAGAAGACAGGUAUGGAGCUCUCAAGAAGUUCUGUAAUGUUGACUGUCCUAUACCUAGCCAGGUGAUAGUUGCGAAGACUAUAUCAGAUGAGAGGAAGGUGACGAGCGUUGUGCAGAAGAUCCUACUGCAGAUAAACUGCAAGCUGGGUGGGGAGCUGUGGGGGUGUUCUAUUCCCUUGAAGAACCUGAUGUGUAUUGGUAUUGAUGUGUACCAUGAUCCCUCCAGACAGAGGCCUAGUGUUGUAGGUGCUGUUGGUUCGAUGAACUGCACAAUGUCCAAGUGGUACAGUGACUGUAGGCUCCAGGAGACCAAGGGUCAGGAGCUGAUAGAUGUUCUCACAAUCUGUCUAGGAAAAUUGGUUCAGAAAUAUAGAGAGCUAAACAAGUGCUUUCCAGAUCAGAUUGUUCUGUUCCGUGACGGAGUCGGAGAUGGACAGAUUGAUACAGUGGCGCUCCAUGAAGCUGUUCAGAUUGAGAGAUUCUUCACAACAAUGAAGUUCAACCCUGAGUUUAUCUUCAUCAUUGUUCAGAAGAGAAUUAACGAGAGGUUCUUUGAUUUGAAUGGGAGUGGGAAGUAUCAGAACCCUCCUCCUGGGAGUGUUAUUGAUCACACCAUCAUGAGAGUUCAAUACUACGAUUUCCUGCUAGUAUCUCAACAUGUUUCACAGGGAACUGUAACCCCGACUCAUUAUGUUGUGAUUAAAGAUACCUCAAAGUUCUCUCCUGAUAUUGUUCAGAAGAUCAGUUAUAAACUGACCCAUAUGUACUUCAACUGGCCUGGAACUAUCCGUGUACCAGCACCCUGCCAGUACGCUCACAAGCUAGCUUAUCAGAUUGGAGAACAUGUGAAGAUGGAACCAUCUAUGCUACUCAUGGAACGUCUUUUCUACCUCUAGAUUCCAAUCUAGUCGAAUCAUAGCAGUAGAAAUUAUUAAAACAACCUGCUCAAACAAAGUAUAAUUGAACAAUUUACCGCGCUAGGCUGGUAAACUCAUAUUUGUAAUUAAAACCAGUUUUUUGUACUAUUUUUUUUGUGUUAAAAUAUUGUUCUUUGACUUAAGCUCAAUGUUAAAUAAUGAUUAUUUCUGGAAUUUUUUUCUUCAAAAUUUAUGUAAUUGAUUGUAAUGGCGAUAUCACAUCUAAAAAUGUUUUUUUUUGCA
rnacentral:misc_RNA from 1 species